rnacentral:ncRNA from 1 species
GAAAAGGUGAAGACUGAGAUCAGUAGAACGCAUCCUUCCCUGUCUUAGAGAGCUGAUGGCCGGUGAAAAUCAGCACAAAUGGAUGGUUUGAAUUACACUCACGAACCGCUUUUACGAAAAAGCCUGUCGCUUUGUAGUAAAAGAACGGACGAUGUCCGUUAUCAACAAGAGUGAAAAGGACGCCCCGUGCGUUCUUUUAAGCAGGGUGGUACCGCGAUGUUCAUCGUCCCUUCG